rnacentral:RNase_P_RNA from 1 species
GGAGUCGGCCGGACGGUCGCUGCGGACCCCGAGUCAUUCGUGGUCGCAGAGGAAAGUCCGGGCUCCGACGGGCAGGGUGCCAGGUAACGCCUGGGGGGCGCGAGCCCACGGAAAGUGCCACAGAGAACAGACCGCCUAAGUCCCGGCAACGGGACCGGCAAGGGUGAAACGGUGCGGUAAGAGCGCACCGCGCCGAUGGCAACAUCGGUGGCAGGGCAAACCCCACCCGGAGCAAGACCAAAUAGGGGAGCAUUGGCGUGGCCCGCGCUGCUCCCGGGUAGGUCGCUUGAGGUGCACGGUGACGUGCAUCCCAGAUGAAUGGUCGUCCACGACAGAACCCGGCUUACAGGCCGACUCCCUUU